rnacentral:rRNA from 1 species
GACGAACGCUGGCGGCGUGCUUAACACAUGCAAGUCGAACGGAAAUGCCCUGAUUGUUUUCUUUGGUCUGAUUGCGAACUAGUGUAUAGCACGUCGGGAGACUAACCUGUGAUUUACGAUCCCUUAAGAGGGCUAUAACUUUUAGAAAAUAAUGGUAACUGCUCAAUACUUAUGGUUAGCACAUUGCGUCGAUAUGAAAGAUACUAUCGCGUGAAGAUGGACUUGCGUCGGUUUAGUUUGUUGGUGAGGUUACGGCUUACCAAGAGCGCGAUCGGUAGCCGGACGGGGAGGUCGGACGGCCUGGUUGUGACAGAGACACGGCCCAGACUCCGACGGGAGGCAGCAGGGAGUGAUAUUGCGGAGUGGGAGCAACCCUGACGCAGCAACGCCGCGUGAAGGAUGAAGUUUGUCGGAUUAUAGACUUCUUUUAUUAAGGACGAAAAAUGACGGUACUUAAUGAAUAAGCUCCGGCUAACUACGUG